AUUCCUUCUUCUUCUUCUACGCCUUUCCAAUGUCUCUAUCCAACUUCUGAGCGGUUCAAAGUUUUCUUCCAUGAUCUGCCAUUAAUUUGUCCUAUUAUUGAUUUUUCAAAACAGUAGUAUUAACAUCACGAAACUCUCUCCUUCUUCUACUUUCUCACUCAAUAGACAAUAGUCUAUAUAAGAUGGUUGCAUCCAAUAAUAUAAGUUUUCAAAAAAGUUCUAUUGAGGGCAACCAAAACUCGGCUUCUGUCGAUCUCAGAGAUCCAACCCGAAAAACAAAGCUGCAGAGAGAUUUCAAGCAAAGAUUCACUGAUAUCUUCCUAGCUUGCUCUUCCACCUCUUCUGGUUGAUUUGGAAAGGGAUCCCGCUGGUAUUGAGGCAAAAGGUCUGCCAAGAAAGUCAAGCCCGCAACACAGCGAUAGAGAAAUUGGAGUUUGAUUUUAUUCAGAGUCUCAUUUUUUAUUGUUCUUCAGGAAGAUUGAUUUACAAUAUUUGAUUUUCACUUAAUUUUCUAGGUUAUAUUGGUAUUGUUUUUAGCUGGUUCUAAGCUCUGUUUCAUGUUGUAAUUUUCUGUAUUCUCAAAAGCGUUGUGAAAGAAAAAGCGUUAUUUUUUAGCUGCUAGAGCUUCAAGAACAGAGAAUCAAAUAUGGUUGGAAUACUUUCUGAACCUAAAGAACCAACAGUUGGUAUUAGAGAGAUACACUACUUCCAAUUCAAUCCAGUCCACUUAUAUCUAUAGUAAUGGAGACAGGCACCGAGUAAGCAAAAGGAGCUCCAGAAAAGAUUCUUGAUAUGUGCAAGUGCAACACAAGAGCUGAUCUGAGGAACAGAGUCCACUUAGCAAUUGAUAAGUACACUGAGCCUGGACUGAGGUCAUUAGCUGUUGCAAGAUGGCUCUACGUGAGAAAACCAAAAAUAAGCUCUGGUGGUCCAUGUGAAUUCAUUGGUCUGUUACCUUUGUUUGGUCUUCCGAAAUAUGAUAAUGCAUACACCAUUAGAAGAGCUUCAGACUUCGGUGUCAACAUCCAGAUGAUCACUGGUUACUAUCUGUGUAUUUACUUCUCACUUUGGCUUUAAUCUUAUGCUGUAUUGGUUUUCUUAUAGGUGACAAACUUGCUAUUUCCAAAUAGACUCGACGUAUGCUCGGUAUGGGAUGAAACAUGUAUCCAUCAGCAUCAGCUUCUCUACUUAGCAAUCACAAAGACGAAAGCCUAGCUGCUGUUCCUGUUGAACAGUUGAUUGAGACAGUUGAUGGCCAACAUCACAGCACUAUUUCAUAAAGAUAUGUUAACACAGUUGACAAGACCCAGUGCGUAUAAUUUCAUAAA